AUUGAACGCUGGCGGCAUGCUUUACACAUGCAAGUCGAACGGCAGCGCGGGCUUCGGCCUGGCGGCGAGUGGCGAACGGGUGAGUAAUACAUCGGAACGUGCCCAGUAGUGGGGGAUAGCUCGGCGAAAGCCGGAUUAAUACCGCAUACGACCUGAGGGUGAAAGCGGGGGAUCUUCGGCCCCCGCGCUAUUGGAGCGGCCGAUGGCAGAUUAGCUAGUUGGUGGGGUAAAGGCCUACCAAGGCGACGAUCUGUAGCUGGUCUGAGAGGACGACCAGCCACACUGGGACUGAGACACGGCCCAGACUCCUACGGGAGGCAGCAGUGGGGAAUUUUGGACAAUGGGCGAAAGCCUGAUCCAGCAAUGCCGCGUGUGUGAUGAAGGCCUUCGGGUUGUAAAGCACUUUUGGCGGGAACGAAAAGGACUGUGCCAAUACCACGGUUCGAUGACGGUACCCGCAGAAUAAGCACCGGCUAACUACGUG
rnacentral:rRNA from 1 species